rnacentral:rRNA from 1 species
UACGUAGGGGGCAAGCGUUGUCCGGAAUCAUUGGGCGUAAAGCGCGUGUAGGCGGCCUUGUAAGUCCGUUCUGAAAGCCCGGGGCUCAACCCCGGGAGGCGGAUGGAUACUGCAAGGCUCGAGUACGGAAGAGGCGAGUGGAAUUCCCGGUGUAGCGGUGAAAUGCGCAGAUAUCAGGAGGAACACCGGUGGCGAAGGCGGGAUCCUGGGCCAGUACUGACGCUGAGGAGCGAAAGCGUGGGGAGCAAACAGG